UCUCCACACACUCUCUCUCUCUAUCUCUCUCUCUCUCUCUCUCUCUCUCUCUCUCAUUCCCCGGAAGCAGAAGCAGGAAUCGAAAGAAAAGCACUUUUCGUUUCUUCUCUCUCUUCCCAUUUUUCAUUUUCUCCAAAGAUUGCUACUUGCUAGUUUUUUAGUGCUAAAUCAUCUCUACUGAGCAGGGGUUUCCGAGCCAAGAGAUGAAGAGGUGACCCGCCCUGCUUUGUAUAAUAUUAAGUUGUAAUCUGAACAUGGAUAAAGUGUCUUCUGACUGUCCAUACCCAGGAUGCUUCUUUUGUGUCAUGAAGGAAGGGAACCCAAGUAAGCGAAGAGCCAGCAUCCUGAAGUUCUUUAGAGAGCUUCCUUCACAGGAUGACGAUGGCCAGGUUCUACCUAUCAGUGGCCUUUGGAACACUGCCAUGGCACAUCCGAAUGACCCUGAGUUCAUUGAGCUUGGUAUCUUUGAAUGUAUGGCUGCAUUGAUAUGGAAGGGUCUAAAGAAUCGUCGCUGGCUUUCUCAUGACCAGAAUAUAUACAUUCCUUAUUAUGCUGCUCAUAUUAUUGGAUCAUACACUAUGAACAUGGAAGAAUUUGCAGCAAGUGCUGUUCAUGCUGGGGUAAUCCCUCCCUUAGUUGAACUUUUGAGAGGAAGGUUAACAUGGGUUGAACAGAGAGUGGCAGUUCGAGCUUUAGGGCACUUGGCUACCUAUGCCAGCACUUUUCCUGCCGUAGCAAGUCAUGGUGAAAUUCUUGAGCUUUCGAUUCAACUAGCAAUGAGCUCACUAGAAAUAGUCUAUUCUCAUUUUUACCAGUAUGUUGACAGAAGGUUAAGCUAUCACUGUGAUCUGCUCACCCGCGGCAUGGGAGGUGUUGAAAUGGAGUCCAGAAAGGCAGAAGAGUGGGCUAGUCAGUUGCAAUGCUGGUCCCUCCAGCUCAUUAACUGCUUUGCCUUUAAACCUGAGUUUCUUCCUACGAUAUGCAAACCUGAAUUCUUAAUGAAACUACCUGGCAUGUGGGGUGGACUUGUUAAUGAAAACUCACCAGCUGGUAUUGGUUUAUUAAGGACAGUUUGCCAUCAUAAGCUGGGUAGAGGACCAGUUGCUGGCUGUCCCAGUAUUAUCGAAUCAUUGUGUAAUAUUUCUCGGUCAUCAGAUGAUUGGCAGUAUAUGACUAUUGAUUGCCUUCUUUGGUUACUCCAAGACCCGAGUACAUGUCAUAAGGUGGUUGAUAAGGCUGUACCUGCACUUGUUGACCUUGCGGAGAUUACAACUCUGGGUGAUCACAAGAAGCUAGGAGAUUCCAUUGUUAAUGUUCUUGAGGAAUGUGUCCAGUCACAAGGGACAGGAAGAAACUCUUUUAGUAACCGAACGAAAGAAUUGAUAGAGGAACUGUUGAGUUCCAGACAGAGAUUGAAAUGGGAAAAGAAUAUGCCUAAAGAGGAUCUCCAUAUUAAACAGGCUGCAGCGCUAGUGGUCAAGCUUGAAGGAAAUUCCCUAUUCUCAUCAGGAAAUAUAUCUGGUGCCGCAUCUAAAUACUCAGAAGCUCUGGCAUUGUGUCCAAUGAGAUCCAAAAAGGAGAGAGUUGUUCUGUACAGUAACCGAGCUCAGUGUCAUCUUCUGUUGCAGCAGCCCUUGGCAGCUAUUAGCGAUGCUACUCGUGCACUUUGUCUUCACAACCCACUGAACCGUCAUGCCAAAAGUCUUUGGAGAAGAGCGCAGGCUUAUGACAUGCUUGGCUUUGCAAAAGAGAGUUUGCUAGAUGCCAUUCUGUUCAUAAACGAAUGCUCUCAGUCAAAUGAUCCUGAUCUCUCAUUAAGGCAAAAUAAGGUUCCAGAUUAUGCUGAACGAUUGGUUAAAAAGCAGAUGCGUGCAGCGUGGUUAUUUAGAGAGGCAGCUAUUAAACAUGGGGGCGUCCAUUGUGAGGGUGAUGCUGGUGAUAUCUAUGGCCGAGAGACUGAUGAUUCCGAAUGGGAGACGGCAAGUGAGAGCGAUAUAGGAAAUGAUGGAAGAGAUGAAAUGGGAAAUGAUGAUGACGACGACGACAAUGAUAGUGAAUGGAAGAAUGAUGAUGAGAGGAAAGAGAAAUAUGAUAAAUCUUCAAUUAAAGGUGAAAGGGAACUGCCCAGAAUGUCAAAGUUCACUGUGAAAUAGAUUUAUUUAUUUUUCUUUUUUUUACACAUCUUUCUAAGACUUCAUAGAUAUUUGAUAAAGUUUAAUCUUUGAUAUUAUAUUGUUAUAGAAUUUAAUACCAUUACAUAUCAAUAGUUGUAAACUUAUCCAAUUCAUAUCGGCCCACAUGGUGAAUACAAAACAAAGUUUCCAGGCUCCACCCCUGCUUGGUGACCUAAAGCAUGGAUACAAUGUGCAGCUUGCGGACGAUGAGCCAUGAAUUUGGAUGCAGUGCUGCGGACAAUGAGCCAUGAAUUUGGAUGCAGUGACCACCGUUCAUACCAGAGCACGAUGCAAGGACAAUGACAUAAUGGAGCCAUAAAUGAUGCUUUGAUCCAAGUGAUUUUAUUUUCAGCACCCCUAGCCUUCCAAAAAUUUCAACCGUAAUUUUCGUGAGGGAUUUGUCUUGCAACAAUGUUGAAGGAAACAUGUUUUGGUCAAUUUGUGUCAAAUAUUUAAGGUUGUUUAUGUGUUUAUUUUAUUGUUACUCUCAAAUUUUAUAGUAAAAUUUGUAAUUGUAGAAAAUAUGCUAUUUUUGAGUCUAGAAAGGAGGUGAGAUUAGCAAAUGUGGAUCUUUGAGUGAUUUAAGAGGUUUUUGUAUAUACAACUUUUGGGGGGUUUUUGUAUUGACUUUGAAUGGCAAUUGUGGUUUUCUUGUGCUCUCGUUA